UUUCAGAUCAUUUGGUUAUUGGAUUAUAUGAAGUGAAAAAAACUUCUUUGAUACAUUGUACUUGGUAAAAGUCAAAUGUUAUCAGAUGGUGUUCAAAGUUUGUGUAUUUUUUUUCUGUCUCACUUUCUCUCUUUCCCUCUCUCUUUCUUUUUUAACAGUUGGAUCCACUUGAACAAGCAAAAGUGGAUUUGGUUUCUGCAUACACAUUAAAUUCAAUGUUUUGGGUUUAUUUGGCAACCCAAGGAGUUAAUCCUAAGGAACAUCCAGUAAAACAGGAAUUGGAAAGAAUCAGAGUAUAUAUGAACAGAGUCAAGGAAAUAACAGACAAGAAAAAGGCUGGCAAGCUGGACAGAGGUGCAGCUUCAAGAUUUGUAAAAAAUGCCCUCUGGGAACCAAAAUCGAAAAAUGCAUCAAAAGUUGCCAAUAAAGGAAAAAGUAAAAGUUAACUUUUUGGUUUUGAUGUACACAUAUUCAAAAAGUACAUCUUCCCCCCCCCCCCCCCCCCCGCAAAAUAAUUCUGUGGCAGGGCAAGGUUUAAAUGUGUUUCUUAUUAAUAUGUAAAUUCACAGUAAAUAUGUAAAGCUAAAUACUUUCCUCUCCAAAGAUCAUUAUCUUUAUUGA
rnacentral:lncRNA from 10 species